rnacentral:lncRNA from 1 species
UUUUUUGGACUAGGUUCAGCAUCAAUUUGCUACACAAUUUUAUAUAGUUACAGUUGAGAAUCGCAGUCCCCGAUUCAUCUCUGUACGAAUCGCAGUCCCCGAUUCAUCUCUGUACGAAUCGCAGACCACGACUUUGUCGCAACGCCUCUUUGGACCAUAGAUCAAUAACAAGACAUAAACAUAACACAUAGAUUUAACGAGUUCC